rfam:Triticum aestivum genome assembly, contig: Triticum_aestivum_CS42_TGACv1_scaffold_502747_6BL
AUUCUACUCCCUCCGUUCCACAAUACAUGCCUUCUAUUUGUCAAAAUAUAGAUGUAUCUAGACAUGUUUUAGUAUAUAGGUACAUCCAUUUUUGGACAAAUGGAAGUCAAGUAUUUUGGAAUGGAGGGAGUACACA